ensembl:lncRNA
GUUCUCUAGCUAGCAAUUCAACAGGUUGAGUGUGCAUUGUGUGCUUUUUAAUUGUUUCUAUAAGGGUGUAAUGGGACAGGGAGAAGAAGAACGUAGACAACAUUGCAGAUUCCAAUGAUAACUUUUGUUUUUCCCUCUUGUUUUGUUUGUUUCCACAGACAAAGAAGUCAAGGAUAAGAGCCCACGCCCCUUGUGAGAUGGAAAGCACACAAGAGCUGUGAGACAGCGAGCAUUGUUGAUGCCAGGCUAUGCAGAUGCCGUCGAGCUGGGAGUGGAGCAGCCGUCACCAUCAGUGAGAUAAGUGUCUGGUCUGGUGAGGACUCUGGUAAUGGCCUACGUGACUCCCUCCCACGUUUUUUUCUUUUUCUCCUCUAAUGUGUUGGCCAGCACAUUCUGUCUGUCUCUCCCCAUCUCCUUGCCUCUCUUUGUGCCGUCUCCCUUCAUAGGACACGGGCAGGUAUGGUAGGUGUGCAACACCACAGGCUAGGUCUUGUGAGGUAUGGAAAUCAUGCAGUGCAGUGGGCGCUAAAGUGCAGCACUGACUGUGGGUGUUGGCUGAGCCUCUGCUCUAGUGGGGCUGAUGUGGAUGGGAUCGGAGAGGGAGAUAGGGAUGGGGGCAAGAUUUCACGCACUAACUGAAUUUUGUGCAGUGAUGACUCUUGCUUGGCUUAUUGGCUGUGCUUGCAGAGGAGUCGUCCGGGAGCAGCAGGUGGAGGAGAAACAGCCAGAUGUGGACUUGAGCGGCCUCGACAUCCUUUACCAAGGGAAAAGACGUGGAGGGUCAAGAGUCCGCUCCCCUCAUUUGAUGGAAAGCGAGGGAGAGCAGGGAGACCACAAGCAUUAUUGAUGCCAGGCAGGAGCCAUCCAGCUGGGAGCGGAGCAGCCAUCAUCAUCAGUGAGAUAAGUGCCUGUUCGUUGAGGGCUCUGCUCACUGCCCACUUGGCUCCAGGUACAGACACCCCGUCAGCUGGGGCUGGGUUUGUAACAAAAUGUUUGUGACUAGCUGAGGGAGGGAGACAAGGUUCCCCAUUUUCAGGGUCUGCCCAUUUCUCUGUACACAUGCGGUGUGUCCUCGGCAGAAAAAGUUGGAUCCAGGAAGAUGAUUCCAGGUGGCGAGUUGCUUGUUUUCCUCUUUUGUGUUUCUCUCUCUCUCUCUCUCUCUUUCUCUCCUCUAGUGUGUUGGUCGGGUGUCAUUGUAAGGGGUGCUUUCUNAAAGGAAGAGGUGGCAGAAGAGGAUCUGAGCUUCCUGGACAUCCUUCUAAGAUCUGAACAGGCUUCUGCUUUCUGCCUCCUGCUUAAUUGGCUGUGAGUAAGCAAUCAAUACUUCGAAUUGCACAUCUGUACUCACUGUAGUUUUCUUCACAGGCUAGAAGCCCAACAAUCUAGAAGCCAGAAACUGUCUAACAAGCAACUCGGAAACCAAUUAAACCGAAAACAAGCCUAAUUUCUGCGUCGUCUUUGCAGGUUUGUCAUGUCUGACCAAAGUCUGCUGUUCAGAGUGACUAUUUCAGGUUGCAAGGGGUGCUUUCUAGUUGUAGUCUUAAAGGCGUAAUGGUGGUGUGGGGGAGUGGUUGGGGACAGGGCUCUGGGAUGUGUUAGAUGCAAGAAGAGAUUUUGUGACAUUGUGGCCUGAGAUGCUGACUACUUGGUUUUUCCUCUUUGUCCAGUGUUUGUUAAAAAUGGAAAAGAAGUCAAACAUAAGAGUUUACUCCCCUCGUACGAUGAAAUGCGAGCGAGGGCAGGGCGACCACAAACCUUCUUGAAAUCAGGCGGGAACCAUACAUCUGGGAGUGGAGCAGCCACGACUGUCAGCGAGACAAGUGUCUGGUUUGGUGAGGUNUUGUGGC